GUAGGUGGCAAGCGUUGUCCGGAAUUAUUGGGCGUAAAGCGCGCGCAGGCGGUUCUUUAAGUCUGAUGUGAAAGCCCACGGCUCAACCGUGGAGGGUCAUUGGAAACUGGAGAACUUGAGUACAGAAGAGGAAAGCGGAAUUCCACGUGUAGCGGUGAAAUGCGUAGAGAUGUGGAGGAACACCAGUGGCGAAGGCGGCUUUCUGGUCUGUAACUGACGCUGAGGCGCGAAAGCGUGGGGGAGCAAACAGGAUUAGAUACCCUGGUAGUCCACGCCGUAAACGAUGAGUGCUAAGUGUUAGGGGGUUUCCGCCCCCUUAAUGCUGCAGCUAACGCAUUAAGCACUCCGCCUGGGAGUACGGCCGCAAGGCUG
rnacentral:rRNA from 1 species